GUCAGGAUGGCCGAGUGGUCUAAGGCGCCAGACUCAAGGUUAGUAACCUUCCCCUGUUGUGAGUGUUCUGGUCUCCAAAUGGAGGCGUGGGUUUGAAUCCCACUUCUGACA
rnacentral:tRNA from 1 species